UCGGGAAUUUUGGGCAAUGGGCGAAAGCCUGACCCAGCAACGCCGCGUGAAGGAUGAAGUAUUUCGGUAUGUAAACUUCGUAAGAAUGGGAAGAAUAAAUGACGGUACUAUUUGUAAGGUCCGGCUAACUACGUGCCAGCAGCCGCGGUAAUACGUAGGGACCAAGCGUUGUUCGGAUUUACUGGGCGUAAAGGGCGCGUAGGCGGCGUGGUAAGUCAUCUGUGAAAUCUCCGAGCUUAACUCGGAACGGUCAGAUGAUACUGCUGUGCUAGAGUACAGAAAGGGCAAUCGGAAUUCUUGGUGUAGCGGUGAAAUGCGUAGAUAUCAAGAGGAACACCUGAGGCGAAGGCGGGUUGCUAGGCUGAUACUGACGCUGAGGCGCGAAAGCUAGGGUAGCAAACGGGAUUAGAUACCCAGGUAGUCCCUGAGCGGGCUGGCAAGGCGCAU
rnacentral:rRNA from 1 species